AAACGUCUAACUUUUUGAACUAAGUAUUAUUGAAAAGUGUACUGCGUGUGUGUCGUGUGUCAACUCCAGGAGGCAAAGGAAAUACAAGAAACAAAGGAAGAUUUCCAGAAGACAGUGUGAUUUCUGAAGUGGUGAUCCAAGGUCGAGGUUGUCUGCUGUCAAGAGGAUGUCAUGUCACCCCAUGGAAUAAGGACAGAGUGCGUGGCGUGAUCUCCCGAGGGUUGGCGGUCGUGAGUUUUGUGACUGGCCGACUGUGGACUAGAGUGGACUUCGAGUGGACUGGGCAGUGUUAUAUAUAUUGUAAGGCUUUCUGGGUUGACUUGUACCAGUGCGGCAACAAGGAGUGUGCCUGACUGACGUGAGGCUGCAAGCCACGUCAAUGGUGUUGCACUGACUCCCGAGGUCCAGGUUCCAGGUCACAGCCUUGUUGCAAUACAUCACAAUCGCGUUGCAAGGGGAGUGCUCUCA